rnacentral:rRNA from 1 species
AGCGGCGAACGGGUGAGUAACACGUGUGUGAUCUGCCCUGUACUUCGGGAUAAGCCUGGGAAACUGGGUCUAAUACCGGAUAUGACCUUACAUCGCAUGGUGUUUGGUGGAAAGAUUUAUCGGUACAGGAUGGGCCCGCGGCCUAUCAGCUUGUUGGUGGGGUAAUGGCCUACCAAGGCGACGACGGGUAGCCGGCCUGAGAGGGCGACCGGCCACACUGGGACUGAGACACGGCCCAGACUCCUACGGGAGGCAGCAGUGGGGAAUAUUGCACAAUGGGCGAAAGCCUGAUGCAGCGACGCCGCGUGAGGGAUGACGGCCUUCGGGUUGUAAACCUCUUUCGACAGGGACGAAGCGCAAGUGACGGUACCUGUAGAAGAAGCACCGGCCAACUACGUGCCAGCAG